rnacentral:rRNA from 1 species
AGAGUUUGAUCCUGGCUCAGAGCGAACGUUGGGGGGAUGUUUUAAGCAUGCAAGUCGAGCGGCAGCAUGGGUGCUUGCACCUGAUGGCGAGCGGCGAACGGGUGAGUAACGCGUAGAUUAUCUGCCUCACAGACUGGGAUAGCCACUGGAAACAGUGAUUAAUACCGGAUAUUGUCCUUCGGGAUGAAAGGCGCGUUUGCGUCACUGUGAGAUGAGUCUGCGUCCUAUUAGCUUGUUGGUAAGGUAAUGGCUUACCAAGGCUUCGAUAGGUAGCCGGCCUGAGAGGGUGAUCGGCCACAUUGGGACUGAGAUACGGCCCAGACUCCUACGGGAGGCAGCAGCUAAGAAUAUUCCGCAAUGGACGAAAGUCUGACGGAGCAAUCCCGCGUGAGUGAUGAAGGCCUUCGGGUUGUAAAGCUCUUUCGGCAAGGAAGAAUAAGGCAGUUAGGAGAUGAACUGCCGAUGACGGUACUUGCAGAAGAAGCACCGACUAAUUACGUGCCAGCAGUCGCGGUAAUACGUAAGGUGCAAACGUUGCUCGGAUUCACUGGGCGUAAAGGGUGCGCAGGCGGCCAAAUAAGUUAGUGGUGAAAUCUUGAGGCUUAACCUCAAGUCUGCCAUUAAUACUGUUUGGCUAGAGUUGUAAUAUAGGCAACGGGAAUUUCUAGUGUAGGAGUGAAAUCUGUAGAUAUUAGAAGGAACACCAAUGGCGAAGGCAAGUUGCUGGGUAACGACUGACGCUAAUGCACGAAAGCUAGGGUAGCGAAUGGGAUUAGAGACCCCAGUAGUCCUAGCCGUAAGCGAUGUAUACUAGUUUCACGGGCUUUUAAUUAGUCUGUGUAACAAAGCUAACGCGUUAAGUGUACCGCCUGGGGAGUAUGCACGCAAGUGUGAAACUCAAAGGAAUUGACGGGGGCUCGCACAAGCGGUGGAGCAUGUGGUUUAAUUCGAUGAUAAGCGAAAAACCUUACCUGGGCUUGAACGUGUAGACAUCACCGAUGAAAGUCGGUUUCCCUUCGGGGUUCUAUGCGAGGUGCUGCAUGGCUGUCGUCAGCUCGUGUUGUGAAAUGUUGGGUUAAGUCCCGCAACGAGCGCAACCCUUGUCCUAUGUUACUAAGUACCCUUCGGGGUACAGGACUCUUAGGAGACUGCCGAGGUUAACUCGGAGGAAGGUGGGGAUGACGUCAAGUCCUCAUGGCCCUUAUGUCCAGGGCUACACACGUGCUACAAUGGAGCGUACAAAGGGAGGCGAGAUCGCAAGGUUAAGCAAACCCCAAAAAACGCUUCUCAGUUCGGAUCGCAGUCUGCAACUCGACUGCGUGAAGUUGGAAUCGCUAGUAAUCACAGAUCAGCAUGCUGUGGUGAAUACGUUCUCGAGCCUUGUACACACCGCCCGUCACACCACCCGAGUUGAAUUCACCUGAAGUCGCCGUAC